rnacentral:rRNA from 1 species
CAGCAGCCGCGGGAAAACGUAGGUGGCAAGCGUUGUCCGGAAUUAUUGGGCGUAAAGGGCUCGCAGGCGGUUUCUUAAGUCUGAUGUGAAAGCCCCGGCUCAACCGGGGAGGGUCAUUGGAAACUGGGAAACUUGAGUGCAGAAGAGGAGAGUGGAAUUCCACGUGUAGCGGUGAAAUGCGUAGAGACGUGGAGGUACACCAGUGGCGAAGGCGACUCUCUGGUCUGUAACUGACGCUGAGGAGCGAAAGCGUGGGGAGCGAACAGGAUUAGAUACCCCCGUAGUCCCUGUCUCUUAUACA